UUGAGACCUUAAAAAGCUCCUGCUGUCAGUUCCAUGUUUGUUCUUCUUCUGGUUGGUUUCCUGCUUGAAGCUGCUGAUUCAUUUCACCUUCACUCAUCAGCUUGAUUCAGAUGAUUUUCAGCAUCUAAAGGUGAAGGUAGAACCACUCUGUGACCACAUGUGGAUCUGAAUUCCCCUGGUGUUUCUCUGCUAUGGAUCAGUGUGAGGACAGAGAGGAGGGAGUCCCUCCCUCUAAAAGCUCUCUGUGUGGGGAACAUGACAGCCAGACCAAAGCUCAGAGAACAAAGAAGCAGCACAGACCAGACUCUGAUGAACUCAG